CCUGCAACAAUAAACAAUCAAUUAAUCAAUUUAUUGUUGCAGGUAAACAACAACAAGGGAGAAUUAAGGGAGGAAUAAUAAUUAUUUCCCUAUUGUUGGUCCUUGGAGAGUUGAUUGCAUUGUUUUGUUCUUAUUUCAGUAAUUAUAAGACCUAUGAGCACAUUGGAAUGAAGUAUCUAGGUUUUCAUGUGUUUCCUCGUUGUAAAUAUAUUGCUUUUGAUCCCAUUGAUUGAUCCCAAUGCGAGAAUAAGUCAUUCAUCUAAAUUCUUUGACACAUUAUAGGUACAGUGGAACAUGUGAACGACCCAUAGAUGUAAAAAGGAAGAUCUUGCAUGCAAAUAUCACUAACAACGGCCGUUUAGUGAAGCCGAGGCCAGAGGAAAACAGAUUCACUGGCUUUUGAACUGGAGCCACAGGCUUAAUUAGGCCUCUUCCAGAACAUCAUCUGUGAGUAUCUGUGAGCAUGAGGCAGCUGGGUCUGGACGAAGUGGAUGCAGAGGACAGGAGGUUUUGGCGACAACAUACAAGAGUGGCCGAUUUCAGCAGAGAAGAAGAAGAAGAAGCCGAGGCCAGAGCCGCCGGGGGUGACGGGCCGGGACGAGGGCACAGUGGUGAGGUGAACACGUUGGGGACAUGAUAAACACUGCCGUGUGUUCCUGUACAAGCCGUGUUUCCAUGGCCUGCCAAGACCCAUAACACACACGGAACUGCUUCAGGGAGCCGGUGUGAAGCCGCAGGGAAAGGUGACUGCUGCCUGGGAGUGUGGGUGGACGGUAUGCUUCAGAGAAGGGACUUGCAGGUGUGGGUGUGGGGUGGACUGUGUGCUGCAGAGAGGGGAUUGGCAGGUGUGGGUGUGGGGUGGACUGUGUGCUGCAGAGAGGGGAUUGGCAGGUGUGGGUGUGGGGUGGACUGUGUGCUGCAGAGAGGGGAUUGGCAGGUGUGGGUGCCGCAAUGACUGGUGGUCCACCAGUCACCCACACCCAGUCCUCCUCCCACCACUGAUGGGUGUGGAUGUAUGCCCGAGUGGACUGUGUGCCGCAGAGAGGGGAGGGACUGGUAGGUGUGUGUGCCGCAGUGACUUACUUACUUUGUUGAAUCUCCGCUGCUUCCCACUGGCCCCUCUCCUCUUGUGCCUUGGAGACCAUUUCCGUUGCCACCUGGCGUUGGUGGCUGGUCAGGUACUGUUGACAGCCGCUUGUCCAGGUGGUACAGUUGCGGAAAUGAGUUCCUGCACCCACUGUGGUGAGCCUUCCCUCCAACCGGCAACGUCGCAGUAGUACUACUCAAGUGUUGCUGUGAAUGAACGGUGUUGGUCGUGUUCGGGUGUGAGUGGCGGAGAGGCUCACUGCUUUUCAGGAAGUGUAAGGGAGGCUUUAUUCAUAAUUAUCCAGCCUAGAGAGCACCAAGGAUUUCCACAGUGUCAGCAUACAGUCCUGUUUUCUGGUUCUGAAGGUACGGAGUAUCCAACCAGUGAGUCUUGGGGCUGUCGCUGUGAUCUUGUCGUAGUGCAAUGUGAAGAUGGCGUCAUCACUCACAUACAUUCCAAGAUCCUUGACGUGGUGUUUGAUUUCAAUGGUUUGCUGGUUGCAGAUGUAACUUGUUGUGGUCUUCAGCUCCUGUAGUGGGCCAUAUCUAAGUGCCUCAAAUUUGUCACUGUUUAGCAGAAUGUUGUUCUCCUCUGCCCAAGCUAUCACUCGGUCUAGGUCAGCUUGUAGCAGGGCAGUGUUACCGUGGGCUUGUACAUGUUUAAGGAUCCUCGUGUCGUCUGCGAAGGAUGUGGCCUGCGCGUGCUGGAGGUCUUGGUCGAUGUCUUGUAUCAUGACCAGGAACAAUAGUGGUACCAGCACCGAGCCUUGAGGAACGCCACUUUUGACUGGGCUGGGUCGAGAUAAACUGCCCUGGACUGACACCUGUUGAGUUCGGCCUGUGAGGAAACUGGAUCCAUCUUCCUAGGUUACCGCUGAUACCAUGAGCCCUGAGUUUGUGUAGAAGUAGCCCAUGGUCCACCUUAUCGAAGGCCUUGGCAAAGUCUAGGUAGAUGAUGUCUGCGUUCCUACGAUCCUUCACUGCCUCAAGUAUUCCUCGGUAGUGCUUCAGUAGCUGUGAGAGACAGGAACAACCUCUCCUAAAUCCGACUGUCCCUCGUUUAAGGCAUUCUUCUUUUCUAGAUGGUCGAUGAUGUCGCCCACUCACCCUCCGACCAAUGGUGGGUGUGGUUGGAAUAGGGUGGACUGUGUGUCGCAGAGAUAAGGAUGACUGUAGUAGCCAUAACAUUGCUGGAAGGGUCGUGUGCAUGAUAUUAAUGUACCAUUUUGUUGUGCUCUCAUUAUUACUACAUCAUAUUAC